GAUGAACGCUGGCGGCGUGCCUAAUACAUGCAAGUCGAGCGAACAGACGAGGAGCUUGCUCCUCUGACGUUAGCGGCGGACGGGUGAGUAACGCGUGGAUAACCUACCUAUAAGACUGGGAUAACUUCGGGAAACCGGAGCUAAUACCGGAUAAUAUAUUGAACCGCAUGGUUCAAUAGUGAAAGACGGUUUUGCUGUCACUUAUAGAUGGAUCCGCGCCGCAUUAGCUAGUUGGUAAGGUAACGGCUUACCAAGGCAACGAUGCGUAGCCGACCUGAGAGGGUGAUCGGCCACACUGGAACUGAGACACGGUCCAGACUCCUACGGGAGGCAGCAGUAGGGAAUCUUCCGCAAUGGGCGAAAGCUUGACGGAGCAACGCCGCGUGAGUGAUGAAGGUCUUCGGAUCGUAAAACUCUGUUAUUAGGGAAGAACAAAUGUGUAAGUAACUAUGCACGUCUUGACGGUACCUAAUCAGAAGGCCACGGCUAACUACGUG
rnacentral:rRNA from 1 species